AGGUCAUGAAAAACUUGUCAAACCCCAUCAUUAGUCAUAUGCUAGAUUGGCUCGACUCGAGUUUAUUUAUGAAUUUUGUAUAAAUUUUUUUUCAGUAUUCACACUUACUCUGACCAAAAAUUUUUUGAACUCAGUCUUACGAAUCAUAUAGGACUUCUUCUUUUCUACCAAGAUCGAUAGAUUCCAUCUGGGUGCAUCUUACUCCAAACAGCGAACUUGAACCUACAAUAGUCAAUAUACACAGAAAGAAUCUGAAUGACUAGGGAUCAAGAGAAUGUACAGUCAAACUAUGUAGCCUC
rnacentral:lncRNA from 1 species